rnacentral:rRNA from 1 species
CCUACGGGAGGCAGCAGUAGGGAAUAUUGCUCAAUGGGGGAAACCCUGAAGCAGCAACGCCGCGUGGAGGAUGAAGGUUUUCGGAUUGUAAACUCCUUUUGUUAGAGAAGAUAAUGACGGUAUCUAACGAAUAAGCACCGGCUAACUCCGUCCCAGCAGCCGCGGUAAUACGGAGGGUGCAAGCGUUCCUCGGAAUCACUGGGCGUAAAGAGCGCGGAGGCGGGAUAGCAAGUCAGAUGUGAAAUCCUAGGGCUUAACCAUAGAACUGCAUUUGAAACUGUUAUUCUAGAGUAUGGGAGAGGUAGGUGGAAUUCUUGGUGUAGGGGUAAAAUCCGUAGAGAUCAAGAGGAAUACUCAUGGCGAAGGCGACCUGCUAGAACAUAACUGACGCUGGUGCGCGAAAGCGUGGGGAGCAAACAGGAUUAGAUACCCGGGUAGUC